rnacentral:lncRNA from 1 species
AAUUAAAUAUCCACGAAUAUGCAAGUUUUCUUAAGACCACGACAAUUGGUACCAACGAAAAUAAAUGAAUCCACAGUAUGUAUAAUAAGCUAUGAUAUGGCCACUUCUACGCAUACCGAAUCGAAAUUUAAACAGUAUGAUAAAUCUCCCAAAUAAAAUCUUUAUUAAUCUGACAGAUUUCAGUAUUAUGAAUUUUGUCUUACAGGUUUGCAUUAAAUCUUCAAGCUGCUGACUUUGUAGUAGAGCAAAUCGUCAAAAUCUGCCGAAUUGACAUCAUUUAAGGGAUUGUUAUUAUAUUUAAAUAUGAGAAAAGAUGUCAAACAUUUAUUUGAAAGUCUGAAUUAAUUUUCAUUUUGCUAUUUAAGGGACCAACAAAUGUUAAAAGUCAUACCUCCUCCUUUGUUUGACUUUAGAUGACAUAUUUUCAAAUUUAAAUUUAGUCAUAUUAAGGAUCU